rnacentral:lncRNA from 1 species
CAAGGUUAUCAAAAGCGACAGACCGGACAAAUAGUGUAAUAUGAAGCUUGAGAGGUUCGAAGCAAGGGAGAGGUCAUAUGAGGAGUAAGGAAUGUGGCACGCCCUGACAGAGCCAUGCCCACAGCACAGGGUAUUCUGCACAGGCCCUGCAGGCUGAUGUGCAGAGGGAAGUAGGAAAAGCCAAAUCUGAUGCCGUGGGAUCUGGUACAGUCGUGCUCAGUACAGUCUUCUGUUUUCUAGCUGCAGGGUGAUGCAGGUGGGCUUGAGGGCAGUGAAUGCUCUUAGUACUAGUCCUGGCUCCACACUGAAGCUGUCUUCAUGGACCUUUGGUUGGACCUCACAGUGUUCCCCCCUCUAAAAUGGAGCCAGAAUACUACUUCUGAUACCAACGUACUUCAUUCAGAGCAAGGGUUUGCUACCAUUUCAACUCGGGUGGCAUCCUCACCGUGUGUAAUACUGCUGGCCUUCUGGGCUGCAGGAGUGCACCGCUGGCUCACAUCCAGCCUCUCAUCUACCAGGAGUCCGAAGUCCUCCUCUGCAAGGCUGCUCUCAAGGCAUUCUUCUCCCAAGCUUCAUGAACUGCAGCUGUAUGAAACUGGACAGAUUACAUCGCAGGAAGGUUUUUCACCCAAGAGUCUGUGCUGAACUGUUUGCUACCUACAACCAGAAGGGGCAGCCUGAAGACAGUCUGGGGCCAGAGCAUAUGUGUAUUCUGCAAGCCAGAAGAAAGAAUUUAUAAGAAGCGACUCUUCCCCAGUUCCUCCAUAUAGAGUCCUAGCAGAUUGGAUUUUUUUUGCAAUGAAGUCACCUAUAUGGUUGUUGUCUCCAAUCUAUGCUAACAUACAUGGCUUACAGAUACUGAAGAUAGAGACAUGGGAACAGACUAAUACGAGUGCCUGGGGAUAGAAAAUACUACAGGUUUUACUCUUCCUAAUGCUAAUUCUCUGGCUCUACAUCUUGGCAGAUCCAGAAGAGCUUGUAUUUUAAGACUGUUCUGAGUCUAAAAUGAGGGUGUUGAAGAACAGCGUUUUAACAGAGUUUAAAGCUCAAUUUCUCUAAGCUUAAUCAAAGUUCUAAAGCAUUCAUAGAUUUGGCAUCCAGCCUCCUGUAGAAUAUUUAAACACCCCAUCCCAAUAACGUGGCUAUUUGCAGUGUAUUCAAAAAAUAUAUUUUUUCAUUCUGCUUCUCUCACAUGCCCAUUGAAGUGCUAUCUAAAAUGCUUUAGCACAUCUCUCUAUUUCAAGUAAUUCUGUUUAACUCCAUGUAAAUAUUCAUCAGAAAUUACAAUGGGCAUAACACUUCUCUUUCUCUAACAGUCAUUUUCCCAAAGCACCAUUUCAUAUAUUGAAAAUUGAAGCUACAUACCAUUAACCUAAAUGAUUUUCACAUCUUCCAACCAACAGCAUUACCAUCCCUGAAUGGAUAUUCUUUCGUACAUCUAACUCUUUCCCUUUAGUCAUGAAAAAUGCCAAGAUCUUCUCUCUUUUGCUUUGAAUCUGUGGAAUUCUCUACAAUCAAUCCUAUUGUAUGAACUUGUGAAGUUUCAGAUGUAUGAUGUAUAGAAAUAAGAUUAAAGGAGAGUGAAGGCAAGAAGAAGCCCCACAGGGUACCAACUUGGAAGGAUGGUUAAAUAGUGUGUGUCAUCAUCUCCCAUAACUCUAGCUAGCCAGACAAAUAGAAAUAGCCUGCAUGGGAAAGAUCCUAUUUUUUCUCUCUGCAAAAAAUGCAAGAACAUGCAAGUAUUGUUUUUGUCUAACUUCUGCCUCUCACAGAUUGUUCUACUUUAAAUUUGUUCAAGAUUUUGUUUGCUUGUUUGUUUUGUUUUGGGUUUUUUUUUUCCUCUCUUUUUUUCUCCAAUACACAUAUUUAACAGUUCCGAUUUUCCAGAUUGCAAUGCUUUGAUCAUCCAGGUCUCUUUAAUAAGGAGAGCUACUGCCAACAGAUGGAUCACAAAAGCUUAUAUGCCUUCUAAUGAAACCAAUCUUCCUAAUUUACCUUUCCCUGCAGAAUAUUUUUAUGCUUUCCUCGUUCUUCUAGAGUGUAACUCUCAAAAUCAUCUGUUUGACCAUGGUCCCAGGGCGGUAUUUGUGAUAUAAUAAAAUAUAAACAUAAAAAAGGUAGCUAUGCCUA